UGACCAGAAGUUCGACAAAUAUUUCGUUUGCAUCUAUUACGAAGGUAUAAUAUGCCUCCAAGCCACACGCGAAAUAUUUUGGCUGUGCGCGGAGGCAAAGUUUGCCAAACAGGGAGCUGAAAACCGGCUUCGCUUUUCCCCCUCAACUCGCGCAAUCGGGGCCGAAAUCUAGCCUCUUUGCAGUGGACAUCCGCCAAUUUCCGUGUGCGUGACGAAGUCACGAGGGCCACGUUUCAUUGGGCGCCCGGACCGGAAGUUCUGUUGUUAGUGAGUCUGUGAGAGCGCCGGCAUCCGUCCGGAAUGCCCGAUCGGGCAAUAUGGACGUCGAAGGCAGAAAUGCGGAGACUUCGAGCCCGGAACUUCUUUCUGACCUUUCUGCGAUCGAGACAUCGAGAAGAAAAUUCUGCGUGCUGAACAGCUCGGUAGGCUUUCGAAACGUCGCCGAUGCCGCGAAUGCGAGACGAAGUUAGAGCUCUACGAACAUCAGUUACAGAUGAAGCAAACAGCAUGAGUCGCCUGUCUUCAGGUAAGCGAUGAGCUUUUUAACGCACACUGUGAUCGAACAUGUAAACGUUCGCAGAAAUUUCGUGUUCUGAUAUCUAAUGCGCACUUGCUGUUCAUGGUGCCGGUGUGGCUGGUGUGUCAUAAUGCCGAAGGAGAUCGAAUGCUUGUGCUGCAAGGAGCUCGAAAACACUGCCGAAUGACUGCAGUAUGAGUGCAUUACAACCCACAAAGAUUUCCAACUUCUAUUCUUCAAUAUGCCUGUCCUGAAGGUCGCAUAUUGAACUCCGUGGGCACGCGAACCUAUGAGCGACUGUAUUCACAAACGAUGCAGAUACACUGCGUAUCGCCAGUUUGCAAGGUGAGUAUGGCACAAGCUUGGAAAAAACAAGAUCAUGGUCAUCCCAGCCUGUGCAGUGAAGAGGGUCUGGCAAGCCUUUCCCACAGAAAAUGCCACAGGCUUCAAGUACCCAGGAUCCUAACUGGGGGUACCUCUUCGCACAGCUCGUCUAUCACAUUUAAAAUAAUUCAGCAUCUGUAUUUAGGAUGAUCUAUAGCUCUCAGGAUGAUGCAUGGUUCAUGAGUUCAACAUGUUGUGUUGAAACACAACACUAGUCCUUUUUAAUGAGUCUUGCGGAAUGAUAGAUGAGCACUCCUUUCGUGACAUUGUGUACCAUUGCUACAGUGAACAAUUUCUUGAGCAAGACUGAUGAACGAACAAAAAAUAGAGUCUUGUCUUCCAAAUAUGUAUGUUCCUUGUAACUUCCGUAUUUGUUAAGUGACCCAUGUUGAUGUCCCCCCUCAUGUAAUGCCUGCAAUGGCCUUUGAGAUAUAUUCAUAAAUAAAUAAAUAUCAAAACCGAAAAAA